UACCAAACGAGAAGAGGUCCAGCUAUCACCCUUCUCUCCGGUACCUGCGACGUCUGGCAUCAUACUGGUUGCCGAGGUGUCUCGUGCGUCUCGGGCUGAGCCUCCUGUUGUCAGCCGUCCUGCGGAGAAUGGCACUCCCUUACCGGGGAGUAUUAUGUGGCAAGAAAUUAAGUUGUGUCCACAGCUUAUUUCCUCUCAUCGGUCAGCGCCAUAAUUCAGCCACUAAAACCGUCGCAACUGGAGUAACGGGUUCACAUGUAAACUUCCACGAGGGGUGACAAACAGCUCGAAGCAUCCACGCCUCGUAUUUGAGGAAAUCUGCAAAGAAAUUCUCUGAAGAGCUUCAAUGUGUUUUUCGCAGCUGGAGGUCAUCCAGUCCUCAGAUCAAAAAUCCAAUCGUGGUCUCUCCUGUACCAAAUAUCACGACCGUCUCAAGUUUUCAAGAUCGCUCCGUGUGUACAGAUACCACCAGAAGAAGAAAAUCAACAAAUACCGGUAUGUGAGUUUUGCUUUUCUUCAGAACAUAAAGAAACACGCGAGUAAGUAUAUCCCCAAGCUAAGACGGGGUGGAAAACAUGCGGGUUGUGGGCCAUAAAGGCCCCCCCCCCCCUGAGAAUAUUUGAUGCAGCCAGUCACACAAGACACAUUUUGUGUAAUUCUUU